UCCCCUAAAGCCCAGUCUGCAGGUCUAGGGUCCCCCCGGGGGAUUCUCUAUUUGUCUCCGCCCAAAGAUCCCUGGCUGAGUAUCAAAUAGAGUCAUUGGCUUCAUUUGUAGGCACCAUGUUGUGUGCAUAUGUAUAAUUUUGGGCCAAAUGCAAAUCACUGGAUCUAUUUAAAGCAGGACGAUGAUACUCUGUCUUUCUGAAGCCCAGCAAGGGGCUCUGAUGCAUCCACAGCCACACAGAAUGGGACCAGGCUAGAACACAGUGUCCUGGCUUUCUUUCCAGGACUGUUCCUACGGGGCAGCAGAUGACCAGUCCGAGCCACAGUGUUCUCUCCAGGGCCACAAAGUGAUUCUUCUAUUUCUUUGAGUCCCAGCCCUUUGAGAACCUUCUCCCUGAAAGAUGAAUAGUCACAGACACAUCCACAGGGGUGUGCAUGCCCUGCCAGGGUUUCAUGCAGAGUUGCCAAGUUCAGAACUUCUGGCCCAAGUCAUUCGGAAUCAAACUUUGUAACUUCAGCCUGGACCCUUCCUAUGAGCUCCGGAUCUUCCAUCUAAGACCUGACCCCCCUGCACAUGCCACACACACCGCUGCAACUUGAGAAUCCCCACACUCAUCUCCCCUCCCCAUCCCUGGGACCAUCAUCUAUGAAGCCUCUCAAGUGGGACAAUGGUUAUCAACCUGCUGAAUACACCUGAUCUUACCAGUCCUCCUGAAUUAGGCUUCUAAAUUAUUUUUGUCUCUGCCUUUACCUUGAAGAUCCUUGGCAGGACUCUGGACAAUUGCAACAACUCCAAGCCCCCAUCUCCUUCCAGCCCUGGUGCCUGUCAGGGACCUGAUCUUACCUGUAGCUACAGCAGACAGUCUGCACUGGCCAGGCCACCAUGCCCUCUGUGCUUGCUCCCACCAAAUGCCCUCCUCCUAGGCCAGGAAGCCUAGAAAAACUCUAGCCUUCCUAGGCUUGGUGCAAAUGUGGAUUCUCCUGGGACCCUUCCCUGGGGGACAUGCACCCUGUUCUCUGUUCGGUGGCUGCUGCCUCUUGCCCGCACCUUCGAAGCAAGGGUCCUCUGGGUCAUGUCACAUUCGAGGGGCUGUUCGUCUCUGCUUUGUGAGCAAUUUGAGGAGAGGAACAGAACUUUUUAUUGCAGCAUCCCCAGCCCUUAACUCAAAGCAGGUGCUCAGCAAAUGUUCAUGGAUGAAUAAAGAAUGUCAGGAA